ACCCAGGUCACCAUCAUCACAUAGCACUUUACCCUCUACCCUCUGACCCAUCCCAUCGACUACUCUUUUUAUGUGGGUUUUCAAGACAGGAUUUCUCUGUGUAACAGCCCUGGCUGUCCUGGAAGUUUCUUUGUAGACCAGACUAGCCUUGAACUCACAGAGAUCCAUCUGCUUCUGCCUCCUGAGUGCUGGGAUUAAAGUCAUGUAUCACUACCACCUAAGAUUUCUCUCUUUUUUUUUUUAACUAGGUGCAGCAAUCAUCCAAAAUGUGUUAAUCAAAAUUACCAAAACCCAAAAUACAUAGAAGGAUAACUUACGGCUUUUUUUGUAUGUUUGUAUGUUUUGUAUGUUUGAGACAAUGUCUUACUAUGUAGCCCUGGCUGUCCUGGAACUCACUAUGUAGACCAGCCUACCCUUGAACUCAAGAGAUCUCGUGCCUCUACCUCCCGGGUACUGGGGUUAAAGGUCUGUACUAACCCACCCAGUUUUUAAUCAGGAAUAAAACCAAGGAUUCAAAUUAAAAACUCCUUUUUACUUACAGGAAGUUGGGAAGAUUCUAAAGGAGAAAAGAAGCCAGAGACUUGUUCAGUUGCCUAACAAACAUACGCUGUUCGUUUUCUGUCCCACGUGCAGUGCUGUGUGUGCCUUGUGCAUCCAGAGAUGUCACCAGCUUACAGAUCCCCUCUGCGAAGGAAUAAAAGACACUUAUUUCUGAUUGACAGCUGACAAACGCUGCCACAUCUCUGGUUAAUAUUGUACCAGGCCUCUGGGAAAGACAGCAGUUGGUUACUUAUUUGAAUGAAAUGUUCUGUCAAGAAAGAAUAAUUUCAAUAUAAAGUAAAAUGGAUAUUUUAUAUUA